UCGUCAGGUGGGAUAAUCCUUACCUGUUUCUCCGUUUGGAGAACAGCUAGAAUAUGAUGAUUGGAGUAUGCAUGAUGCGUGAUUAACGUUUAUGCGUAAUCAGGGCUUGCAACACUCUGAUUGCUCCUAUCUGAU
ensembl:snoRNA U8 U8 small nucleolar RNA